CGGACGGGUGAGUAACACGUGGAUAACCUACCUAUAAGACUGGGAUAACUUCGGGAAACCGGAGCUAAUACCGGAUAAUAUAUUGAACCGCAUGGUUCAAUAGUGAAAGACGGUUUUGCUGUCACUUAUAGAUGGAUCCGCGCCGCAUUAGCUAGUUGGUAAGGUAACGGCUUACCAAGGCACGAUGCGUAGCCGACCUGAGAGGGUGAUCGGCCACACUGGAACUGAGACACGGUCCAG
rnacentral:rRNA from 1 species